AGAGUUUGAUCAUGGCUCAGGAUGAACGCUGGCGGUGUGGAUAAGGCAUGCAAGUCAAACGGCUCGCAAGAGCAGUGGCGAACGAGGUAGUAACACGUUGGUAACAUUCCCCAGAGUCAGGAAUAACUAGUCGAAAGAUUAGCUAAUACUUGAUAGUCUCCCAGAUUUAUUUCUGGUAGUAAAGAUUUAUCGCUCUGGGAAUGGCCUGCGGAGUAUCAGCUAGUUGGUAAGGUAAUGGCUUACCAAGGCUAUGACGCUUAGGGGACCUGAGAGGGUGACCCCCACCGAUGGUACUGAGACACGGACCAUACACCUACGGGUGGCUGCAGCCGAGAAUAUUCGACAAUGGACGAAAGUCUGAUCGAGCGACACCGCGUGAUGGAUGAAGACCCUCUGGGUCGUAAACAUCUUUUAUGAGGGAGAAAGUUUAUUGAUAGUACCUCACGAAUAAGGGGUUGCUAAACUCGUGCCAGCAGCAGCGGUAAUACGAGUGCCCCGAGCGUUAUCCGGAAUCAUUGGGCGUAAAGGGUGUGUAGGUGGUAAUGUUAGUCAGCUGUUAAAACCUGGGGCUCAACCCCAGAUCUGUGGCUGAAACGGCAUAACUAGAGGAUGGCAGGGAUGUAUGGAACUCAUGGAGUAGGGGUGAAAUCCGUUGAUAUCAUGGGGAACACCAAAAGCGAAGGCAGUACAUUGGGCCACUCCUGACACUGAAACACGAAAGCGUAGGUAGCGAAUGGGAUUAGAUACCCCCGUAGUCC
rnacentral:rRNA from 1 species